GCCGGAGUGGUGGAAUGGAAGACACGGGGGACUCAAAAUCCCCUGGGCUUUAUGCCCGUGUGGGUUCAAAUCCCACCUCCGGCACCA
rnacentral:tRNA from 4 species